GUGGCCUGGUGGUAAGAUCUCGGCUUCGGGACUGGGGAGUUUCAGGUUCGUGACCCGAUUCCACCGAAGAACCGUCGUGUAAGCUGGCCUGGUGCACGUUAAACCGUCCGGCUCAUACGUCCUUUCGCUGGUGUGGUGUGGAGAGAGGGGUGUCAGCUCAGGUGUCGUUCUUGUCAUCUGACCAAAAUUACGAGGAAAUAGAUAAGCAUAGUUAAAUAGCUAAAGGAGUGCAAGAUAUGUAACACAACUAUUGACAACAAUGUGCAAAAGACAUUGCUUCACGGCAGAACUUUCAAGAGAAAGUAGCAACAAUCGUGUGGUGCCUUCAAGAAAAUAUUGAUAGUUGACUGUUAGCUGAUACAUCAAUUGCACAGAUGGCCUGAGAAUAGAGAAAAGGCUGGUUGACUAUCUGUUUCUAUUAAUCACGUGGCAAUUGCACGUUCCUUCUUGAUUACGAAGGAAAAACUGACUGCAUUCAAAAUUGAUAAUACCAUCUUCAAUGCUGAUUGUUGCCUUUGGAUGCGAAGAUUUUGAAAGCAAGUUUCUGAUAUUUUCCAGGAGGUUUGCAGAAGGAGAGCUUUAAAAAUUUUGUGCCUAUUUUGAUGAACAGAAUGGAUUGAUGAAAGUAUUUUUCGGAAAGAAAUUAAUAAUUUGCUAAUUUUUAAAAAAUUAUUCUAGCAUCAGAAAUAUAAAUAUCAGUUCUACUCAUUGAUUCUACUAGAGUUAAGCCAACUGUACGAGCAAGAAAGUGAAGCUUGAAAGUGCAAGAAUAUAAAAUUCAAUCUUACUCAUUGAUUCACGUAGAAACGAGUCAGUUUGAAGGAAAGUUUAAACAACAAAGUUAAAAACUCUAAUCUGACUCAUUAAUUAAAUUAAAGCAAAUUAGUUUAACGAGCAAAAAAUCAAUUUAUCGCAGCUUAGCUAUACGAGUGACAGUGCUGUUUUGCAAUCAACGUGAAAUUCCACCGAGAUGAAGUGCCAUAUGUUAUGACACAGCUCUCGUACUUCAGUCAUUAUUACACUUUUUGAGAAUAGCAGUUAAAUAUAUUCAUUUAAUACAUAUUUAUUUAAUUAAUAAUUUUCUGAGACAUUUGUGAAUCUCGAAUGCUCUUAGACCGUGCAAAUAUAUCAUAAUAAUUUUAAAUUUUAUUGCCUCUUGUUUAAAGUACAUAAGGAUGAGAUAUAAGAAUUUUGCAGAGAAUAGUUAUCGUUUUUGAUUUUAAAUUUUAUUAAUAAUUACAA